AAUAGGAUCAUUAUCAUCAUUUUGUUAGUAAUGUAAUAGUGGUAUAAUUUUUGUUAGAAAAUUUGUGAUGAGUGUUGCUGCUUAUUAGAGGGUUAAAAGUCUACUGUCAUGCUGUGGUGAAGUCCCAUUUCCUUCAGAUCUCCAGAUUUUGGCUGGAGAAAGGAUCAUUCUGGCUUUCAGAAGACUGACUUUGUCCACUGACUUUGUCUGAUGUGUGAGUGACAGAACAUUUUGCUGUUUGUUUAUUUGAGAAGAGCUGAUUGAAUGAGUACACAGCUUUGUGAUUCUUGAACUUGCAUCUGUGGUUUCUGUAAGUACUUCCAGAAGGAGCAGGUGCAAUUGCUGUUUGUGUCCUGGCUUAUAGCAGUAUCAGCAUUUUGCCUGGUGGAAGAAGCAGAGUUCGCAAUCUUGCAUUACAUAGCACUUAACACAAGACAACAGAGAACAUGAACUUGCAGACAAACAAGCUGGCCCCUUUAUGUACUGCUUACACUCCUGCCUGUAACUGUUGUCAACAUGUGCCACACAGGAAUGGGCCCACUUUGGACUAUCAGCAGUAUAGAUGGGCUCCAAACUAUUCAUAUUUAAGCAAGAUGACAAGAACUAAGAUCAUUCAUAGUGGCACUGAUGGCAUCAUAUAUGCCAUUCUUCUUCAAUGAUUAUUGGAUGUAACUGUCUACAAUUAUUAUUUAUUAAUGGUUACACAAACUAGAAUAACCAGAUCCCAUUGUGGUACUGUAUGGUGCAAUUUUAACAAAACAUUGAAAAUCGUCGGCGCAUAAAUGUUGAUCUUGUGAAUAGUGAUAAGCACUUAACAGAAUGCUUUUUAUCUGGAUAUCUAUAGGUGAGUGGCAAGAACCAAGAAUAAACAUAAUGAUAUUGACAGAGUAAUAAGUGCUGUAAUUUCUUAAUGUUCAUUGCGUACAACUCAUAAUAAUUAAUGUACAAGAUGUGGCUAUAAAAUAACGGGACUGACGCUGUCACAGAGUAAGUAAAUCUGUGCCAAAGAUGAACAAACAAUAACUGUGAAGCGUGAAACCUUCUCAGUCAAAUGUGGCAUCUCUGACAUCUGUAGACAAACAAUUAUGGCUGUGGCCUUUGGUUGUGUAAGAGUUAUUUGUUUCUUUGCUGAAAAAAUGAUAAAUGUAAUAAUAGACCAAUGAAUUUUCAUGAAGUUUCACAUGAAACAUGGAAAAACUGCUACUGAAACCUAUCUUUUACUAAAAUAAGUGUAUGGCAAAGGCUUUUUAUUGCUACAUGAGUUUUUGAGUAGUUCAAGCAUUUCAAAGACGGCCAAGAUGCCACUGAACAUAACACACACCCUUCAACAUCAAAAAGUGGAUGAAAAUAUCAAAAACAUGGGUAAUCUGAUCCAAUCCAACCAUCAGCUGAAUAUUUGAUUGAUUGCUGAAACUUCAGAAAGUGAAACAAAAUGUAUAAGGCAAUUUUUACAUUAUCAAUUUAACAAGAGAAAAGUGUGUGCAAAAUUGCUGCUGAAAAUUCUCACAAUAAAAAAAAAAAAUUCUUUGGAAGAGUGCAGAUGUAACAAAUUUUGGUUUCUCACUUAUGAUCUGGAGACUAAGUGCCAUUCCAUUCAUUGAGAGGGCCCAACUUCACGUAGAGUGAAAAAAGCUCAAAUGAGCAAGUCAGGAUUCAAUGUGAUGAUGAUAGUUUUAUUAAUAUUCAUGGAGUUGUAUAUCUCCACAGGGUUCCCGCAGGUCAGACUAUUAAUUGAGGU